rnacentral:rRNA from 1 species
ACGCUCGACACCUACGGGGGCAGCAGUGGGGAAUAUUGCACAAUGGAGGAAACUCUGAUGCAGCGAUGCCGCGUGAGGGAAGAAGGUUUUCGGAUUGUAAACCUCUGUCUUUGGGGACGAUAAUGACGGUACCCAAGGAGGAAGCUCCGGCUAACUACGUGCCAGCAGCCACGGUAAUCUGAGCGGGCUGGCAAGGC